rnacentral:rRNA from 1 species
GACGAACGCUGGCGGCGUGCUUAACACAUGCAAGUCGAACGGUGAAGCGCUUGCCUUUUUGGUGGGUGUGGAUGAGUGGCGAACGGGUGAGUAACACGUGAGUAACCUGCCCUCUUCUUCUGGAUAACCUCAUGAAAGUGGGGCUAAUACGGGGUAUUCCGGGUCUGUCGCAUGGCGGGUUUGGGAAAGAUUGCGCCUUUGGGUGUUUUCGGUGGGGGAUGGGCUCGCGGCCUAUCAGCUUGUUGGUGGGGUGAUGGCCUACCAAGGCGGUGACGGGUAGCCGGCCUGAGAGGGUGGACGGCCACACUGGGACUGAGACACGGCCCAGACUCCUGCGGGAGGCAGCAGUGGGGAAUAUUGCACAAUGGGCGCAAGCCUGAUGCAGCGACGCCGCGUGAGGGAUGGAGGCCUUCGGGUUGUGAACCUCUUUCGCCAGUGAAGCAGGCCUGCCUCGUUUGUGGGUGGGUUGACGGUAGCUGGAUAAGAAGCGCCGGCUAACUACGUGCCAGCAGCCGCCGUAACAC